GUAAGGAACCUUGGGGAACAUUCUCAAAAGAGCUGUGUAUUUCUAAAAUGUCUCCAUGUUCAAUGGACAGGACACCCAGAACAGGUGGGGGAAGUGUGUGUGUGUUGCUUGUGUUAUGUGUGGAAUGUCAAGGUUAGUGCUUUCAAUGCACUCUGGGGUUGUCGUCCGCCAGCAAAAUCUACUUCAGCGUUUUCUAACAAGCUGCAUACUCUUAUUAAUAUAAGGAUCAUUUGUUACAUUCCUUUGUCGUUUGAACCUGAUUAUCUUACCCCAGAGCUUUUAAUGUUCUCUUGUCCACUCUCGGGACUAGUUUGGUCUAUAAUCCUAACCUGCCAUAUAAGCCCUUCAUGACUGGCCUCUUUUCAUGUGCCCAAGCUUAUAUCUCACUCAUGUGCCACACUGAAUUUUAUACACACACACACACACACACACACACACACACAUUCAUGCACCUACACAUGUACACACACAACACAGACACAUAAAUACAUACAUGCACACACACAUACAUGCACACACAUGCAUACACACAAAUACACAUAUACACAUGUAUACAUAUGUGCAAUAUACAUACAUAAACACACAUACACCACACACAUAUACACACAAACAAACAUAUACCACAUAACACACACACAUUAUUUGUUCCUAAUUAUGUGUUUAGUCUCCAGGUCUCAGAGAAGGCAAUCCCUCCCAGAAUCCUUGCCUGACACCCCAGGGAAGGGAAGGGAUGGCUGAAGCCUAUCAAGUCUCAAAUUCUAGAAAGACAGAAAUUUAGACUUAAGACGUUUGUCCAAAGCCAGAAUGCUGGGAAGGCGCUUUAAGUAAUGCAGUGUUGGAAAUUGAGCUCCAUUUGCUGGAAUUCUAUAGAGAGAAACGCACCAAGAACUUCUGGUGGUGUGCUGCAGUUUCUUGCCACUUCCGAGGAUCGGGCUGAUUGCAGAGUGAUGCCAGCUGAGACAGAAGUGUGUGCUGAUGCAAGAUCCCAGGAGAACACGUAAUGUUUGGAGGAUAUAAAUAGGACUCUACCAACAGUGAUGGAGGCUGAGCUAGGCUUGCGAUGCUUGUUGGUCUCUUGUCUUCGCUGAUCUUUGAUUCACCGAGAGAGGUACAGCUAAGAACUUCUUUUGGCAUUCCUCC
rnacentral:lncRNA from 1 species